rnacentral:rRNA from 1 species
UACGAAGGGGGCUAGCGUUGCUCGGAAUCACUGGGCGUAAAGCGCACGUAGGCGGCUUCUUAAGUCAGGGGUGAAAUCCUGGAGCUCAACUCCAGAACUGCCCUUGAUACUGAGGAGCUCGAGUCCGGAAGAGGUGAGUGGAACUGCGAGUGUAGAGGUGAAAUUCGUAGAUAUUCGCAAGAACACCAGUGGCGAAGGCGGCUCACUGGUCCGGUACUGACGCUGAGGUGCGAAAGCUAGGGGAGCGAAGGGG